UGCUGACGACACAAACCAAAUCUCCCAAAAAUUAUCUAAUCUAGGGUUUCGCAAUUCGCAAGGCGUAACCCUUGCCUUCCACUCUCAUCACCCCAAUAAUUAACUCUAUCUCCCCCUUGAUUUUCGCCUUUCGUUCUCUCUCUUUUCACGCGCUUCAAUUUGCCCAUCUUCAUCAUUUGACUGCGCUGCGAUUUUAGCUUUUGAGUUUUGAUUUCUUCGUCACGAGAGUGGUUAUUUAAGGCCCCCAUAACGUUUUUGGCGCUUUCCUUAUACGUGAUUGAUUCAGAUUUUGUUUAAUUAAUUGCUUUCCACUUUCCGAGGAAGUGUAGGUUUUUUAGGGUUUUAGGAAUGGCGAGCGCGGGUGAAGAACAGGUUGAGUAUGAGAGUGAUCCCGAAGAGGCCAAGAGAUCCUUGGCAAUGCGGAGGAGGCGUGAGGCCAGUGAUGAUGAAGAAGAAGCUGAAGGUGAUGGAAGAGGAAAAGGUGCAGAUCGCCGGAUUACUCAUUCCGAUGAUUCCGACGGCGAGGGUGGAGUCGCCGAAUAUGACGACGAAGAAGAAUUGGAAGAAGAAGAAGAAGGGGUUGACGAAGAGGAAGAAGUAGAAGAAGAGGAGGAGGAGGAGGAGGAAGAAGAAGAAGAGGUGGGCGAGGAGAGGGGUGGAGAGGAAGGUGGUGCAAAUGGCACAGUGGUUAUGGCAAAAGAUUCUGAUGCUGAUGUGAAAGCCCCUUUGGAAGAAUCAGGGAACAUGGAUGAUGAAGAGAAGAAGGAGAAUGAACCGUUUGCAGUGCCUACAGCUGGAGCAUUUUACAUGCACGAUGACCGUUUCAGGGAUAAUGCUGGUGCCCGCCAUAGGCGUAUGCGUGGUGGAAGGAGACUGUGGGAGUCUAAGGAUGACAGGAAAUGGGGACAUGAUAAGUUUGAGGAAAUUACUUUGCAGGAAAGGCACUACAAGGAGGGAAGGAGACCUUCUAAGGGUAAUUAUCGAGGCCGUGGUAAAACUCGAGGUGUUGAUCGUGGAGGAUAUGUUCGAGGUAACAGAAAGGGAUAUGAUAACAGAAGCAAUCAAACUCAGGCACCAAAGGGUACUGUGCGUGGGCGAGGGCCCCGAAGGUAUGAGCCUACUAAUAAAAGCAACGAUUCAGUAUCCCACGUGCAAAAUAAACAAUCUGGGAAGCCACAAGAGAAAACUUCACAUGCUAGUUCAGGGAGAACUUCCAUCUCUAAUUUGGAAUCUGAUCCUGUCGCUGCUAAGAAGCAAGUAUUUGCAUCGAAUUUGAAUUCUGCAUCUCCUCCAUUUUACCCAUCGAGCUCUUCCAACAAAGAUAUAAAUCUGACACCUAAAGGAGAUGUCCAAACUGGUGGCACAAGCAGGAACGUUCGCACUGGUGUUGUGGAUGAGGGUUUUUUGGCUCAACAAAACAAUGCACUUCUUCGGGGAAAGAAUGUUGCUGAUCAUGUCAGCAUGGACAAGCUGUACAUUGAUGGGCCCGUUGCUCCAUCUAUUGGAAAGACUUUUAACAAUUUGCAUAUUCCGCCACCUGUAUCUUCUGGAGUCAAUGCUUCUCAGUCUGCUCAUCCAAGAGCUCCUGGGAGGGGUGGAGCAGUACCAGUACAGAUUAAUUAUCAGCCUGCUACCUCUCAUAAUCAAGUCAACAAAAUUGAUCCAACACAACUCCAGGCUAUUCAAAGAACUGCUCCAGGGAGAACUUCAACUUCUAUGCAAGCCCCACCUGCUUCACAGUUGGCUCAUCGACCUGGUAGUGGGUCUCAACCUUCAUCUCCCCCCAAAACGUCUGUCGCAAUUAGUUCAUUGGAUUCUGGAGAAAUCGAUACAGCUUCAGAAUCAGGUAAAUCCAAGGGUGCACUGGUUGGGAAAGGAAAGGGAGGUUCCCAGGGUAGUGGAAGGGGCUCUUUUGUUUAUGGUGGAGCUAUGGGGACUACUGGAAAUAUGGGUGGUAAUCAUGGAGAUCAGAAUUUUCCGGCUUUCUUGCCAGUUAUGCAAUUUGGAGGGCAGCAUCCUGGUGGUAUAGGAGUUCCUGCCGUGGGCAUGGCAUUCCCUGGAUAUGUUGCUCAGCCUCAACUUGGUUUAGGAAACUCUGAAAUGACAUGGCUACCAGUUCUGACCGGUGCUGCAGGAGCUUUAGGGGCUACAUACUGUUCACCCUAUCUCACUGUCGAUGGUGCUUAUCAUGCUCGACAAUCAGGACAGACAUCUGCAGCAACUACUUCAAGCAAGGAAAAUAAUGUGAAUAAAGCUAAUAAUGAGUGGAAGCCACCGCAGAAACCUGAGUCUGUCAGUGAUGAGUUUGGACAGCGACAAAACAAGCCCCGCAGGCAAGUUGAAUUGCAAAAGCAUUUCAUUUUAAUGUUUUCUUUUGGGGGGUGGGGGGCCUGAGUAUGAUUGUGCUGGAAUUGUUUUUCUUUGGAUUCUAGGGAUAAUACUACUGGCAUAUUUUUAAUUUUAUCAUCAUAAUCUCAAUGAACGUGGGAAUGUUCUAUGCAGAUACUCAGAGAUGAAUUUUGGGCAAUGAAGUAUUAUAUAGGAUGCAACUUGUUUGAAUAAGAAGAUAAGGCCUUGUUCCUCUUGGUCCUCUGUUCUCCAGCUUUUGUUCUGGAGUACUUUGGACAGCGAUAUGUUUCAAGAAUUUUUAGUUAUAUAACGCCUGUUCAUGCUGUCGUCCAUUUAAAGAAGUUAUUGCAGCUUGACAGGUGGUAGUUGCUUGUGUAAUUGUGCGGUUUUUCUUGCGUUUUGCUUUAGUGAAGCUCGUGAGAAACAUAGGCAGGCUUCUCUACAACUAUGAAUAUGGGAAAUGAAUGAUUAUUGUUGUGCUGCAAUUGAUUGCUCGUGGAGUUGAAAACUUUCUCGUGUAAAUGGUUUUCUUAUUCAUCUGCUAUGGAUUUGUGGUAAAGCACUGAGACAUCAUGUAAUCGUUUUAUUUUUUGCAAUUCAAGUUAGUGUUUUUGACUGAAUUUGAUAUUCGAUGCAAAGGAUGCUUGGUUUUGACAUUGUUUCAGUUAUUGCCCGUCGAAAUCAACCAUUCCCCCUGUUGGCUCUGCGAGAAAUUUGGGCUAUAGUGGAAAAUGUAGUUUUAUCAUUUCCUCUGCAAAUUAUUAAAAUCAAGAUAAAAUAAAAAUGUGCUAUUUUUUUUGUAAAUAUUGAAAUAUUAAUAGAAAAUAUUUU